UACGAAGGGGGCUAGCGUUGCUCGGAAUCACUGGGCGUAAAGGGUGCGUAGGCGGGUCUUUAAGUCAGGGGUGAAAUCCUGGAGCUCAACUCCAGAACUGCCUUUGAUACUGAGGAUCUUGAGUUCGGGAGAGGUGAGUGGAACUGCGAGUGUAGAGGUGAAAUUCGUAGAUAUUCGCAAGAACACCAGUGGCGAAGGCGGCUCACUGGCCCGAUACUGACGCUGAAAUACGAAAGCGUGGGGAGCAAACAGG
rnacentral:rRNA from 1 species